UUUAAAGGUGAAAUUGCAAUGGACCACUUACUCUCCAUUUGUCACCACUUCUAAAGUAAUGGCUGAAAUGGUCCCUAACUAGAGAGAUACAAAACAAAAUCAUACCACACCUGAAACAGUCUUGCCGGUUACUAAACCAUGGGCAGGCAGGCUAGAAACAAGCUCUCCUCCACCGGGGAAGGGCCACGUGCCUGGUCCUCAGUGCAGGCUACCUUCUGUCACACUUUUUUUCUGCUUUUCUCCCCCUGCAACGUCCAAAAGAAAAGAGGUGCCUCAUUUUACUGAAAGCAACUUUCCCUACAUUGGAGAACCAGAUCCCCAGCCCUUUUCGCCCCGGCAUCACCUUGGUGAAACUUCAAGAAUGUGCCCAUACACAAAAGAGAAUUUGCUCCUCCUUCUGGGAAACUGCUUCCUCCGGGCCCCAUCGGGUUUGCCAGAACCAGCUGAAAGUUCUGCAAUCUUAACUACUUCAGGACGUCAGAUCUGGUCAAGGUCCAGGCUAUAAGCUGGCUUUCAAAGCUGUCGGGAUGAGCCUGCUGGACCUGUCUGGGAAGCUUGUUAAACUGCACCGAUGAACUCAUCCCUUCCCCAAAUCGUGCUGAUGACCUCAUCAUCUGCAGCUGUGUGCUCUGAGCUCACCCACCCUUCAACUCCCAGGGGAUCACAUCUGGCGGGGGAGCCCUGGUACCUGGGGCGGGCACAUCUGGAGGUAACUCCCCUUGGAAAUGGAGGGCUUUGUGACCUCCUUUCACUCUUACCGACGACGCAGCCAAGUGGCAAAGGGGCCCUCAGCAAUUUUCUUCCUUGGGAGAGAGCCCUCUGGUCUUCAUGCAGUAAGGAUUUAUAG
rnacentral:lncRNA from 12 species